UGAUCCCUUGGAUUCGUCUGGGGGUGAAAGUGGCGAACGGGUGAGUAACGCGUGGGUGAUCUGCCCCGGAGUGGGGAAUAACUGUUGGAAACGAUAGCUAAUACCCCAGAUGUCUUCGUGUUUGGAAAGCGAUGACUAAAGUUCAGGCGCUCCGGGAGGAACCUGCGUCCCAUCAGCUAGUUGGUAAGGUAAUGGCUUACCAAGGCAAAGACGGGUAGGGGGCGUGAGAGCGUGACCCCCCACACUGGUACUGACACACGGACCAGAUACCUACGGGUAGCAGCAGCUAGGAAUAUUGGACAAUGGGCGCAAGCCUGAUCCAGCAACACCGCGUGGAGGACGAAGGCCUUCGGGUCGUAAACUCCUUUUUGGGGGGAUGAGAAAGGACAGUACCCCCAGAAUAAGGCCCGGCUAACUACGUGCCAGCAGCCGCGGUAAUACGUAGGGGCCAAGCGUUAUCCGGAUUUACUGGGCGUAAAGCGCAUGUAGGUGGUUUGCUAAGUCGGCCGUGAAAGCUCCUGGCUCAACUAGGAGAGGUCGCUCGAUACUAGUAGACUAGAGGGUGGUAGAGGAGAGCGGAAUUCCCGGUGUAGCGGUGAAAUGCGUAGAUAUCGGGAGGAACACCAGUGGCGAAAGCGGCUCUCUGGCCCAUUCCUGACACUGAGAUGCGAAAGCUAGGGGAGAGAACGGGAUUAGAAACCCCGGUAUUCCUAGCCGUAAACGAUGUCAACUAGGCGUAGGAGGUUAUUGACCCCUUCUGUGCUGCAGCUAACGCGUUAAGUUGACCGCCUGGGGACUACGGCCGCAAGGCUAAAACUCAAAGGAAUUGACGGGUCCCCGCACAAGCAGCGGAGCGUGUGGUUUAAUUCGAGGCUACACGAAGAACCUUACCAGGGUUUGACAUGCUAGUGG
rnacentral:rRNA from 1 species